AUUGAACGCUGGCGGCAGGCCUAACACAUGCAAGUCGAACGAGUGGCGGACGGGUGAGUAAUGUCUGGGAAACUGCCUGAUGGAGGGGGAUAACUACUGGAAACGGUGGCUAAUACCGCAUACCAUCGGAUGUUCCCAUAUGGGAUUAGCUAGUAGGUGGGGUAAAGGCUCACCUAGGCGACGAUCCCUAGCUGGUCUGAGAGGAUGACCAGCCACACUGGAACUGAGACACGGCCCAGACUCCUACGGGAGGCAGCAGUGGGGAAUAUUGCACAAUGGGCGCAAGCCUGAUACAGCCAUGCCGCGUGUAUGAAGAAGGCCUUAGGGUUGUAAAGUACUUUCAGCGGGGAGGCGUUACCCGCAGAAGAAGCACCGGCUAACUCCGUGCCAGCAGCCGCGGUAAUAC
rnacentral:rRNA from 1 species